rnacentral:rRNA from 1 species
AUGACAAUGGAGGCCUUCGUCGUUGACGGAGGAAAUGAUGGGACAGUUGCCCGUUGGGGUUUGCGGCCUGUCACAGGUGAUCGGUCGUGGGGGUCGUACAUGAGGUUUGCAAGCAAUCCCAAUAACUCAAUGUAUGGUCAGCCGAUGGUGUAUGUGGAGUUCAUUUCAGUCACUGAUGUUGCCGGAUGCAGUAGCAGGGGUGGUGAGGUCGAGUUGGCCAUCACAUCAGCCCCUAGCAUCGGCCCAUCGGAACCGACGGGCGGCCAGCCUGUGUAUGACACAAGAUAUUGGUCGGCGGCCGUUGACAUGAGCGAACACGUGGAGGGAUUGCCAGAGGCGCUAGAUGAUGAUGAUCAUUCUUCUGCGUCUUCGGAGUCAAGCGGAGAAGAAGAUGUUCCUCCUCAGAGGGCGGUCGCGGCGGCACUGCAACCUGGGUUUUUACAGGAUAUGAGCAUCCAACGAAUUUCACUCUGCUUCUAG